AGUGAACGCUGGCGGUAGGCCUAACACAUGCAAGUCGAACGGCAGCACAGUAAGAGCUUGCUCUUACGGGUGGCGAGUGGCGGACGGGUGAGGAAUACAUCGGAAUCUACUUUUUCGUGGGGGAUAACGUAGGGAAACUUACGCUAAUACCGCAUACGACCUACGGGUGAAAGCAGGGGAUCUUCGGACCUUGCGCGAUUGAAUGAGCCGAUGGCGGAUUAGCUAGUUGGCGGGGUAAAGGCCCACCAAGGCGACGAUCCGUAGCUGGUCUGAGAGGAUGAACAGCCACACUGGAACUGAGACACGGUCCAGACUCCUACGGGAGGCAGCAGUGGGGAAUAUUGGACAAUGGGCGCAAGCCUGAUCCAGCCAUACCGCGUGGGUGAAGAAGGCCUUCGGGUUGUAAAGCCCUUUUGUUGGGAAAGAAAAGCAGCAGGUUAAUACCCCGCUGUUCUGACGGUACCCAAAGAAUAAGCACCGGCUAACUUCGUG
rnacentral:rRNA from 1 species